rnacentral:rRNA from 1 species
AUUGAACGCUGGCGGCAGGCUUAACACAUGCAAGUCGAACGCCCCGCAAGGGGAGUGGCAGACGGGUGAGUAACACGUGGGAACCUUCCUCGUUGUACGGAACAACUCAGGGAAACUUGAGCUAAUACCGUAUACGUCCGAGAGGAGAAAGAUUUAUCGCAAUGAGACGGGCCCGCGUCGGAUUAGCUAGUUGGUGGGGUAACGGCCUACCAAGGCAACGAUCCGUAGCUGAUCUGAGAGGAUGAUCAGCCACACUGGGACUGAGACACGGCCCAGACUCCUACGGGAGGCAGCAGUGGGGAAUCUUGGACAAUGGGCGCAAGCCUGAUCCAGCCAUGCCGCGUGAGUGAAGAAGGCCUUCGGGUUGUAAAGCUCUUUUGUCAGGGACGAUAAUGACGGUACCUGAAGAAUAAGCCCCGGCAAACUUCGUGCCAGCAGCCGCAGUAA